AGAGGUCCAGCCUGCCCAGUGAGAAAUUCAACGGCCGCGGUAACCUGACCGUGCAAAGGUAGCAUAAUCACUUGUUUUUUAAAUAGAGACUAGUAUGAACGGCACCACGAGGAUAAAACUGUCUCCUUUCCAUAAUCAGUGAAACUAAUCUCCUAGUGAAAAAGCAAGGAUAUUACUGUAAGACGAAAAGACCCUAUGGAGCUUAAAACAAACAACUAAUGCUUUUUUCUCUUCAUUUCCCCACCAAGCACUGUAGUUACUAAUUUUUGGUUGGGGUGACCACGGAGAAAAAUUUAUCCUCCACAACGAAACUCUUUAAACAAAGCCACAGCUUUACCUAGCAAUAAAUUGGCGCACUGACCCAAUAACUUGAUCAGCGAACUAAGUUACCCUAGGGAUAACAGCGCAAUCCGCCUCGAGAGUCCUUAUUAACGGGCGGCUUUACGACCUCGAUGUUGGAUCAGGGUAUCCCAGUGGUGCAGCCGCUACUAAAG
rnacentral:rRNA from 1 species